AUGGAAAACCACCCGCGCAGAACAGCUACCACCGCGAAAUGCACAACGAUCGAGCCUAAAGUCGCCGAGGACUGCACCAAACCAUCGUCUCCGGCACCGAAAGCAACUUGUAAACCCUGCGCAGAGACGGCAACCCACAAGACUCGCGCGUCGAGUGCGCGGCCCAAAAAGGUGCCGACGACGACCGAGCCUUGCGACGCAUCGGAUAGACUCCUCAAGAUAUUGAACGGAACCCUCAGGACGGACAACUUCAGCAGGCCGGACCAGAGCAGUCUGGCAGAAUUGAUGCGCGUCCUGCUCACCGAGCUUGUCUCCAAUUCUUCAAGGCACGCUGAAAUCCCCUCGGGGAAACCGGACGACACGGCACGCUUCAACAAAUCCGCUACAGAGUGCGCUAACCCCGUUUUGGAUUCGAGCAAAUCCAAGGAUUUCACACCGGACCGCUCACUCAAGAACGCCAACAAUCGACUUUUGAGUAAUUUUGUCAAUUUCGCCACUUUAGAAGCGGCUAGGAGGCGUGUUGCGACCGAAAGACAGUCCGCGGCGCAAGACAAGGGGCCUAUAGUGAACGGCAGGGAAUCCACCGCACAAAACAAGGAGGCUGCGUCUCAAGAUAGGCAACCAGUGGCGCAAGAUAAGCAAAGCGUAUCGAAGAGCGUAGAGAGUACGGUAUCGCCACUGCGAGCGCUUACGGUGUUGCUGGACCUGAUGCGGGGUCAGUCAAGUGACCCGGAUUCGAGCGAUCACCUGCGGUUGCAGCCUUUUGGUGAGAACGGCCCGGUAGCUUUGAAUGUCUUCAUCAAAGCAGCCAUCAUCCCCGAGUUCAAGAAUGUGUCUGUGGCAAACGGCAAGGUGCGGAGUGCAGAGAGGGCCAAUCUUCAAGCUGGGCAUCCCCGAAAUACGCAGAGGAGCGCAGAAGUGACGCCCACUUUGGCCAGUCCCCGCAGUCGGUACAACGACAACACACUUAACAAUCUACUCAAGUCUAUCAUAGUUAAGGCGCGCUUUGAGCGGCCUGUUGAGCCAGAGAUGUUACAGGUUCCAACCGAAAGGCAACUUAGGUGA
rnacentral:lncRNA from 1 species